rnacentral:rRNA from 1 species
CGCGUAGGUGGUAGUGAAAGUCUAUGGUGGAAUCUUAGGGCUUAACCCUAAAACUGCCUUGGAAACUUCAUUACUUGAGUCAGUGAGGGGAGGGUAGAAUUCCUGGUGUAGCGGUGAAAUGCGUAGAUAUCAGGAGGAAGGCCGGUGGCGAAGGCGGCCCUCUGGCGCUGAACUGACGCUGAGGCGCGAAAGCGUGGGUAGCAAACAGGAUUAGAUACCCUGGUAGUCCACGCCCUAAACGGUGGGUACUAGGUGUAGGGCUCGUAAGGGUUCUGUGCCGAAGGGAAACCAUUAAGUACCCCGCCUGGGAGUACGGCCGCAAGGUUGAA